CAGAAGUGCCCAUUGAGAUGUCUGGACUCCAGGUAGACUGCUCUGAAAACUCUUCCGGCCUCCCUGUGCAUCCUCUGUUGUGUGAAGGGUUAGAGAGAGGAUGAAUGCUCACCUUUGCUGCCCAGUCACAGCAUUGGGUUUGCAGCUCCUUGGUGGUUUCUCUGCUAUAGUUUGUCUAACGGCAUCAUCAGUUCACUCCUCACAAUAUUUGUCCUGUGCAGGAUCAGGUUUCCCUCUCAAACUGGAGCACAUUCACCAUGUCUGGCACACAACUCUGGAGCUGAGAAGUGUUUUCUGUUUCCUUGUGCCUCUGUUGCCUGCAGGACAGUUUGUACAGAACUGCUGAGCACUUCACCUUGUGGCAGAUGUGGUUUGAAUGUAAUCUAUCUUUCUAUGUUAUUUUUAUUUUAUUGCAUAGCUACUAAGUACAUUUUUAGAGUGCAUGGGCUUUACUGGGACAAAUUACGUGUGCCUGGGUCCUGAGCUGGGGGAAACCCUGCAUUCUGUACCAUCCUGUUGGUUUUAACCACAGAUAGACAAAGCUUUGUGUGUGAUUUGGGAACUACAGAUUGAAAUCUCAUGCUGGAGACAACAUUCUAAUCCUGGAUGGGAUACAUCUAUCACUGUGCUAGGUCAGGUUUUCAAGUAGAGAUGGUAUGAAAGAUUGAAAACCCAUGGAGGAGAUUCAGGAAAGCUGGUCCCUAAACCCAGCCCUUACCCCCUGGGUGCAUUUUGCUGAGGUCUUAGAGCCCAAAAUGCUCCAGGGAUCUCUGCAUGUCAGGGAUAUCUACAUGUGCUGUGGCUGCCACCUUCCUCCUAAAUGCAGCUGGUCACUGAAGCCUUGGAUGGUUGCUCAGAUGUGCUCUGGCAGCAGCAGCACCCACCAGAUCUCCUUUUGUACAGGACAAAGUACUUUGCAAGGUAAGGAGGUGUCAGGGCACUGGGUGGAGUUGGGAAAAGCCAAGCUGCUGUUAACAAGAUCAGGAUAUAUGGGAUGGUCAUGGAGAGACCUGCUGAUCCUAUGGGAAAGCAAGACAUUGCUGAGCAGUUGUUGGAGCUCUUAUUUAUUUAUUUAUUUAUCUAUUUUAAUUUGAGUUGAAGAUCCUGGCUAACUUCUAGGCCCUUUCUCCUGCAAAUAUUUAUUUUUAAAAAAGUAAGAGACUUGGGUAUCUGCCAUGUUCCUUUAUUAAAUUCACUCCCAGAGACUUGUUUUGAUUCAAUCAGCAAUACUUAAUGAGAACUUACCUGAGGGGAACUCAUUCCCUUAAGUCUGGAUCAAUGUCUGAGCCUGGCACAGCCACCGAGGAGCUGGGGUCCCUGUGAAGCCAGUGCUAAUCCUGUCUGGCAGCAGGGGAGCACAGGGGACACUGUGCCAGGUUGUUGUGAGAUGUCUGGGCUGUUAGUGAUGGAGCUGUGAAUUACUCUUGCUCUGUAGGAUUUGCUGGAUGAGCUUUGCCUGGUCACGGGCCAUGUGCUGACUUCAGGGGAGAGCCUGUUUCACCCUUCAGAAACUGAGAUAUAACUAAAUCCCGUCCUGCGUUUCCCUUCACUGACUGCAGCCGACACCAAGCCUUGCACACAGUUGCUAUCUAGUGGCCAGAGGAAGGUAGUGGAUGCGUUUUUCUCCUUCGGUUUUGUGCAAAAGGACUGUGCUACUGAGCUACAGCACAAACUCAUCAGGUGAAGUAGAUUAAGGUCUUCAAGAAAUUAUCAAAUCUGCUUGGCAGAUCUUCUCUGACCAGAGCUCUUG